GAUGAACGCUGGCGGCGUGCUUAACACAUGCAAGUCGAACGAUGAAGCCCAGCUUGCUGGGUGGAUUAGUGGCGAACGGGUGAGUAACACGUGAGUAACCUGCCCUUAUCUCUGGGAUAAGCCUGGGAAACUGGGUCUAAUACCGGAUAGGAGCGUCCACCGCAUGGUGGGUGUUGGAAAGAUUUAUCGGUUUUGGAUGGACUCGCGGCCUAUCAGCUUGUUGGUGAGGUAAUGGCUCACCAAGGCGACGACGGGUAGCCGGCCUGAGAGGGUGACCGGCCACACUGGGACUGAGACACGGCCCAGACUCCUACGGGAGGCAGCAGUGGGGAAUAUUGCACAAUGGGCGCAAGCCUGAUGCAGCGACGCCGCGUGAGGGAUGACGGCCUUCGGGUUGUAAACCUCUUUCAGUAGGGAAGAAGCGAAAGUGACGGUACCUGCAGAAGAAGCACCGGCUAACUACGUG
rnacentral:rRNA from 1 species